rnacentral:rRNA from 1 species
AUACGGAGGAUCCGAGCGUUAUCCGGAUUUAUUGGGUUUAAAGGGAGCGUAGGCGGACGCUUAAGUCAGUUGUGAAAGUUUGCGGCUCAACCGUAAAAUUGCAGUUGAUACUGGGUGUCUUGAGUACAGUAGAGGCAGGCGGAAUUCGUGGAGUAGCGGGGGAAUGCUUAGAUAUCACGAAGAACUCCGAUUGCGAAGGCAGCCUGCUGGACUGUAACUGACGCUGAUGCUCGAAAGUGUGGGUAUCAAACAGGAUUAGAUACCCUGGUAGUCCACACAGUAAACGAUGAAUACUCGCUGUUUGCGAUAUACAGUAAGCGGCCAAGCGAAAGCGUUAAGUAUUCCACCUGGGGAGUACGCCGGCAACGGUGAAACUCAAAUGAAUUGACGGGG